GAUGAAGAACGUAGCGAAAUGCGAUAAGUAAUGUGAAUUGCAGAAUUCCGUGAAUCAUCGAAUCUUUGAACGCACAUUGCGCCCCCUGGCAUUCCGGGGGGCAUGCCUGUCCGAGCGUCAUUUCUGCCCUCAAGCACGGCCUGUGUGUUGGGUGUGGUCCCCCCGGGGACCUGCCCGAAAGGCAGCGGCGACGUCCGUCUGGUCCUCGAGCGUAUGGGGCUCUGUCACUCGCUCGGGAAGGACCUGCGGGGGUUGGUCACCACUAUAUUUUACCACGGUUGACCUCGGAUCAGGUAGGAGUUACCCGCUGAACUUAAGCAUAUCAAUAAGCGGAGGA
rnacentral:misc_RNA from 1 species